CAGAGGGGGCAAGCGUUAUUCGGAAUUAUUGGGCGUAAAGGGCGCGUAGGCGGCUUCGCAAGUGACGGGUGAAAUCCCUCGGCUUAACCGAGGAACUGCCUGUCAGACUGCAUGGCUUGAGACCAGGAGAGGUGAGUGGAAUUCCCAGUGUAGCGGUGAAAUGCGUAGAUAUUGGGAGGAACACCAGUGGCGAAGGCGGCUCACUGGACUGGUACUGACGCUGAGGCGCGAAAGCGUGGGGAGCAAACAGGAUUAGAUACCCUGGUAGUCCACGCCGUAAACGAUGAGUGCUUGGUGUAGCGGGUAUCGACCCCUGCUGUGCCGAAGUCAACACAUUAAGCUCUCCGCCUGGGGAGUACGGUCGCAAGACUG
rnacentral:rRNA from 1 species